rnacentral:rRNA from 1 species
AGUGGGGAAUAUUGCACAAUGGACGAAAGUCUGAUGCAGCAACGCCGCGUGGAGGAUGACACAUUUCGGUGCGUAAACUCCUUUUAUAUGAGAAGAAAAUGACGGUAUCAUAUGAAUAAGCACCGGCUAACUCCGUGCCAGCAGCCGCGGUAAUACGGAGGGUGCAAGCGUUACUCGGAAUCACUGGGCGUAAAGAGAGUGUAGGCGGAUAUAUAAGUUAGAAGUGAAAUCCUAUGGCUUAACCAUAGAACUGCUUCUAAAACUAUAUAUCUAGAAUAUGGAAGAGGUAGAUGGAAUUUCUGGUGUAGGGGUAAAAUCCGUAGAGAUCAGAAGGAAUACCGAUUGCGAAGGCGAUCUACUAGAACAUUAUUGACGCUGAGACUCGAAAGCAUGGGGAGCAAACAGGAUUAGAUACCCUGGUAGUCCAUGCCCUAAACGAUGUACAUUAGUUGUUGUGAGGCUAGACCUUGCAGUAAUGCAGUUAACACAUUAAAUGUACCGCCUGGGGAGUACGGUCGCAAGAUUAAAACUCAAAGGAAUAGACGGGGACCCGCACAAGCGGUGGAGCAUGUGGUUUAAUUCGACGAUACGCGAAGAACCUUACCUGGCCUUGACAUAGUGAGAACCUAAUAGAGAUAUAAGGGUGCUAGUUUACUAGAGCUUACAUACAGGUGCUGCACGGCUGUCGUCAGCUCGUGUCGUGAGAUGUUGGGUUAAGUCCCGCAACGAGCGCAACCCUCGUGUUUAGUUACUAACAGAUUAUGCUGAGGACUCUAGACAGACUGCCUACGCAAGUAGGAGGAAGGUGAGGACGACGUCAAGUCAUCAUGGCCCUUACGGCCAGGGCUACACACGUGCUACAAUGGGGUAUACAAAGAGCCGCAAUACCGCAAGGUGGAGCAAAUCUCAUAAAAUAUCUCCCAGUUCGGAUUACACUCUGCAACUCGAGUGUAUGAAGUUGGAAUCGCUAGUAAUCGUAGAUCAGCAAUGCUACGGUGAAUACGU